rnacentral:rRNA from 1 species
UACAGAGGUCUCAAGCGUUGUUCGGAUUCAUUGGGCGUAAAGGGUGCGUAGGCGGCGCGGUAAGUCGGGUGUGAAAUCUCGGGGCUUAACUCCGAAACUGCAUUCGAUACUGCCGUGCUUGAGGACUGGAGAGGAGACUGGAAUUCCCGGUGUAGCGGUGAAAUGCGUAGAUAUCGGGAGGAACAUCAGUGGCGAAGGCGGCCUUCUGGUCCAGUACUGACACUCAAGUGCGAAAGCGUGGGGAGCAAACAGG